CCUACGGGGGGCAGCAGUGGGGAAUAUUGCACAAUGGGGGGAACCCUGAUGCAGCGACGCCGCGUGGGUGAAGGAGUAUUUCGGUAUGUAAAGCCCUAUCGGCAGGGAAGAAUUUAGACGGUACCUGACUAAGAAGCCCCGGCUAACUACGUGCCAGCAGCCGCGGUAAUACGUAGGGGGCAAGCGUUAUCCGGAUUCACUGGGUGUAAAGGGAGCGUAGACGGCCAGGCAAGCCUGGAGUGAAAGCCCGGGGCCCAACCCCGGGACUUCUCUGGGAACUGUCCGGCGGGAGUGCGGGAGGGGCAGGCGGAAUUCCUAGUGGAGCGGUGAAAUGCGUAGAUAUUAGGAGGAACACCAGUGGCGAAGGCGGCUUACUGGACUGUAACUGACGUUGAGGCUCGAAAGCGUGGGGAGCAAACAGGAUUAGAUACCCCUGUAGUC
rnacentral:rRNA from 1 species